rnacentral:lncRNA from 1 species
CUGGACGUUAGGAAAUACUACUUGUCUGAAAGGGUGGUCAGGCACUGGAAUGGGCUGCCCAGAGAGGUGGUGGAGUCACCGAUCCUGGUGGUGUUCAAAGAGUGGAUGUUGUGUUGAGGGACAUGGUUUAGCGAGAAGCACUGGUGAAGGGUGAAUGUUUGGACUGGAUGAUCCUGUGUGUCUUUUCCAACCUUAGCGAUUCUAUGAUUCUAUGAUUCUCUGAAAGAAGCUGACAAACAGAAAUUUGUAACACGUUUCAGGAGUGCUGUGGUUUGCUGUGUGUGGAGCUCUGCAUUCCAAAGUGCUGCAGGCACUGCAUUCUUCCUUUGCUGAGUUGUGCUUCUCUUUUUGUUUGCUCUGUGUUUUGCCUCCUGCUCAUUAUGUCUCUCCAUACAGAUGUGCCCUUAUCCACCCACUCUGAUGUAUUGUCUUGCAGCUGAGCUGGGAAAUUGUGUCAUUGCCGAGGAUUAGGAAUUGUGUUGGACUGCAUAUAGACACAUGGCGCUGAAAGUAAUGCCUCCUAUUUGUUUCCAUGGAAAGUACAAUCUUAAAUGGCACACAAUAACCCUGCCUGAUGGAUUGGAAUCAUAGUUACAGAAUUCGAUUUUUCAUCGUAAUCCCCAUCGUACCUCUGCAUUUUACGGGCUGUGAACCAAAGCCUUCAUGUUGCGCUCAUAUAAAUCUUUGACAGAGGAUGUGGCCCUCUGUAGCCACUGCACAAAUACAUCAUCCAACACCUCAUGGUGCUCACAUCCACUCUUUUUUUCUCCAUAAACAUUCAGCAAGCGUUAGUGAAUGUCAAUGGAUGCAAUUCUUUGUGCAUGGAGGAGUGCAGCGAUGCACUUCCUUGUGAGAUGCCAUUUGGUCAGAUUGCCCCUCUAUUGCCAUCCAUCACAUGGUGUCAAAACACAGUGGGAUAUUGGUGGGAACGUUCAGCCUCUGCUUUGUACCACCAGCGUUGGCCUUGGACAGCAUGGGCUGCCACAAUAAAUCGGGAGGCAUUACUUUCAGAGCAGCAGUGAUGGAAUACACGGAAUCGUUAUUAUGUACAUAAUAAAACAAUUGAAUUGUCAAUAUUUCUGGUAAAUGUUUCUAAAAAGGGGGAACAAAAACAUGAAACCAGUGGGAUAUUUGACCUUUUCUUUUUGGUGACAGCAGUGCAUCAGGCCGGUUCGGCUGCAGUGUCUGGAAUUCUUAGGGGAGUCUCAACAUCUUCAUUGGAGAUUUUGGAUGAAAUGUUACUCCUGUUGAACUUCAUCCUUGAAAACAGUUAUCCACAAAGUUACAUACUACCAAAAAAGCCAUGCCGUGAGUGAAGGCUGAUGGUGAAGUGAGAGAUGUUUCUCUCUGGUAAGAUAGGGACUGUUGAAGUCUUCACCAGCCAGGGCUCUAGCUGCAUGGCCCAAGCUGCAGAAAGCAAAGGUAAGAACUGGGAGAAGGAGGAUCUGCCUGCUGUCAGUGAAGAUCACAUUUGUGACCAUCUAAAGAACCUGCAGGUGCACAAGUGCAUGGGACCCGAUGAGCUCCGUGCACGAGUUCUGUGGCAGAUGAAGUUGACAGGCUACUAUCCAUCAUAUUUGAAAGGUCAUGGCAGCCUGGUGAAGUUCCC